ACGAACGCUGGCGGCGUGCUUAACACAUGCAAGUCGAACGGAAAGGCCCUGCUUUUGUGGGUUGCUCGAGUGGCGAACGGGUGAGUAACACGUGAGUAACCUGCCCUUGAAUUUGGGAUAACUUCAGGAAACUGGGGCUAAUACCGGAUAGGAGCUCCUGCUGCAUGGUGGGGGUUGGAAAGUUUCGGCGGUUGGGGAUGGACUCGCGGCUUAUCAGCUUGUUGGUGGGGUAGUGGCUUACCAAGGCUUUGACGGGAAGCCGGCCUGAGAGGGUGACCGGCCACAUUGGGACUGAGAUACGGCCCAGACUCCUACGGGAGGCAGCAGUGGGGAAUAUUGCACAAUGGGCGGAAGCCUGAUGCAGCAACGCCGCGUGCGGGAUGACGGCCUUCGGGUUGUAAACCGCUUUCGCCUGUGACGAAGCGUGAGUGACGGUAAUGGGUAAAGAAGCACCGGCUAACUACGUG
rnacentral:rRNA from 1 species